UUCCGUAGGUGAACCUGCGGAAGGAUCAUUAAUGAAUUAUAAGUCGGUCUUCUGUGCUGGUGGCAACACAUGUGCACGUUGAUCGCAAAUCCACACACCUGUGCACUUUUGACUUUGGGAUUCGCCUGUUGGCUUGUCUGACAUGCAGCUGGUUGGCCUUGUGCUGGCCUGGGUCUCAGAGUAAUUUUUACACACUCUAAAUGUAAUGGAAUGUCUUGUGCAUAAUGCAUAUAAAUACAACUUUCAACAACGGAUCUCUUGGCUCUCGCACCGAUGAAGAACGCAGCGAAAUGCGAUAAGUAAUGUGAAUUGCAGAAUUCAGUGAAUCAUCGAAUCUUUGAACGCACCUUGCACCUUUUGGCAUUCCGAAAGGUACACCCGUUUGAGUGUCAUUGUAAUCUCACUCCUUCAACUUUUGUUGAUGGAUGUGGACUUGGACUCUGUUGUGUUACUACGACUAGUCUUAAAUGUAUGAGUGCACCCUGCUGUUGCAGCGUCUUCAGUGUGAUAAGCAUCUUCACUGGAUAAAGUUCCUCUGGGACACGCAGGCACUGUGGGCUCUGUGCUACCAACUGUCUUGGACAAUUUUGACAAUUUGACCUCAAAUCG
rnacentral:rRNA from 1 species